AUGAUGAUUGAUCUGAAUGAACCACCGCUUGACGUAGAGUCCAUCAACAUUUCAGUCGAGUUGGGUGCACCCUUCUUGCAUGCAGGGGGUGAACAGGGACAUCAACAAUUGGAGGAGGAGGUUGGUGAGUCUCCUGACCCCAAUGUUGGAUCUAACACUACUCAUGUCCCGGAAAAACGUGUUGCCUCUCCCCCACCUAUGGUUGCUCCUGCUAAUGCUUUAGUUCAUGAGGCACAUGAGUUGGAAGAUGAAGAAGCUGGAUCACAGCCACAACAACCUUAUGUUGGCAUGCGCUUCGACACAUUAGAGGAUGCGAGGGAACACUACAAUCGCUAUGCUUUGAUGGAGGCUUUCGAUCAAGUCAAAUACGUCUUACAGGUCGUCCUACACAGGUGUGGUGGAAAAACAGCAAUUCUGCUGUAA
rnacentral:rRNA from 1 species